CCACUCCUGAAUCUAUCACCUGAGCCAAGGUGUCCUCACCACCUAACCGCUACCCUCUGAUAACAAGGUCUUAGUGCUCAGGAAUUCUAAAAUGUGGCAGGUGGUCUCACUGUGCUUGGGUAGUUGUCACUGAAUGCAUCCUUCCCAUGGGGGAGUUUGUGUUGGAGUCGCAGGUAAACAAUCCGCCUACAGAACUUCCUUCUGAAAACAGCUUAAUUUCUUUAUUUCUUUCAGGGAAUAUGAAGAAAGGUCUUAGAAGGAGAUGAAAAUGAGUAUUUUACCAAAAUGAAAUUGAAAGAAGAAACAACUAAAGGAAAAGAAAAAAAUAAAAGAAUGAGAGAAAGUAAAAAAUACAUACAUAGAAAAUAACGUAAAGUAACAGACAAGAUUUUGUGGGUGAAAAACUAGACAAGCAAUUCAGAAUGUCUACAAGCAAAACGCCUUGAGCAUGCCAAGACACUUGCCAUGACCUCUGCUCCUGAUCAGUCUGUUUUUGGGGUGACUGGACCACUGCCACCUCUUGGUAGCCAUUGCUUUGAUUUUGCUUUGUCUUCAAGAUUGUAUUGGUGAAGCCAUGUUUCAUCUCCUGUUACAAUUUGAAGAAAUACGUCAGGAUCUUGAUCCCACUUGUUUAGAAUUUCCACUGAAAGCGCUCUGCUCUUGUCUGAAGCUGAUCUGGGCACAACAGUUUGGGCACCCCUUGAGUGGAAAGUUUGCCAAACUUUACUAAUUUUCAGUCAGAAUUGUGUAAGCUGAACCAAUAGAGAUGUCUACAGUGUUGACUAUUUGUUUCUAUUGUUAACUGUUGGUCUGCCUCAAUUUGGGCAGAUACGAGAUGAAUUUUUUCCUUGCAAAUUGAUGUUGAUGGUCUGCCACUGCAGGCCUCAUCUCCGACAUCAUCUCAUCCCUUCCUAAAAUAAGUUAUCCAUUAGUAAAUUGCGGAUUUCUUCAGGGAAUUGUCCCCAUAAACUUUUUGUAAGGCAUCAAUCAUUUCAUGAAACUGCCGUCAGAUAGAAUGCAAUAAGAACAGAGCAUCAGUCUGCGAUAUUACUCCAAAAGAUAAAUUUAAUCACGAGGAAAUAUCAGACAAAUGCAAAUUGAUAGACUUUCUACAAAAUUACUGGCCUAUAAUUUUGAAAAGCAUCAAAGUCAUGAAUCUCAGAAAAAGCCUGCAGAACUGUUCCUUUCUGAAGGACAGGAAAGAGACAUGACAACUAAAUGCAAACUAUGAUACUAAAUACAAUCAUUUUCUUUAAAAGACUGUUAUUGGGACAGUUCACAAAAAGUUACUGAGGUCUAAAGAUGAAAGUUAUUAAUGUUAAUAUAUCAGUGCUAUCAAAGUUAAUGUAUCAAUGUUAACAUUCUGAUUUUGAUUAUUAUAACUUGGUCACGCAGGAGAAGCUUUUUGUUUGUAGGAAAUACUAAGUUAUUCAGAGGUGAUGAAACAUAAGAUUAAGAACUUAAUUUCAGCCAGGAGUGGUGGCUCAUGCCUGUAAUCCCAGCAUUUUGGGAGGCUGAGGCAGGUGGGUUGUUUGAGCUCAAGAAUUCAAGACCAGCCUGGGAAACAUGGCAAAACCCCAUCUCUACAAAAAACACAAAAAGUAGCUGGGUGUAGUGGCACGCCCCUGUGGCCCCAGCUACUUGGGAGGCUGAGGUGCAAGGAUCAUCCAAGCCCAGAAAGGUCAAGGCUGCAGUGAGCCCUGAUGGUGCUUCUGCACUUCAGCCUGGGUGACAGAGUCAGACCUUGUCUCAAAAAAAAAAAAAAAAAAAAGAAAAGAAAAAAAGGACUUAAUUUCAAGUGGUUCAGAAGAAAGUUAUUUUUUGCUUUUCUGCAAAUUUGUGAUCUAUUUAAAAAUACAAAAUUAUUUUUAAGAAAGAGAAAACCAGAAAAAACAUGUUAACUUUAAAAAAUUAUAAUAUACUGACAAAUAUACUAUGUACACUGAUAUAUAUUAAAUCAAAGUAUAAUUGAUAUGCAUUAAAAUGUAUCCAUUCUAAGUAUACAGUUUGAUGUUUUGACAAAUUUAAACAUCCAUAUCACCAUUAGCAAAAUAUAGAAUAUUUCCUUUGUAGUACACAUACACCACCUCAUACUCUCAGUCCCAAGCAACCAUUAAUUUGCUCUUUAUAACUAUAAAUUAGUUUUGCUUGUUUUACACUCUUUUGUAUCUGGUUUCUUUAUCAAUCUUGUUACAUGUAGCCAUAUUUUAUUCUAUUUUUUAACCAAGUAGUAUUCCAUUAUAUGGCUAUGCCACAAUUAGUUUAUUUAUACAGUUUUUGGUGGACAUUUGAUCCCUGUCCAGUUUUGGGAUAUUACAAAUAAUACUGCUAUAAUUAUUCACCAAUGGGUCAUUGGGAACAUAUGCUUUUAAUUCUCUUUUUAAGUACAUAGGAGUGGAAUUCCUAUGUCAGAUAGUAAGUGUAUGUUUAUAAGAAAUUGCCAAACUGUUUUGCAAAAUGGUUGUAUCGUUUUAUGUUUUCAGAAGCAAUGUUUGAGAGUUCCAGUUGCUUCCCAUCCACAUGAACACUUGCUAUCUCAGUCUUUUUAUAUUUUCUAACGCGUAUGUAGUGUUAUCAGAAUUUAAUUUACACUCUCCUGAUGAAUAAACAAAAUAUCUUUUCAUGUACUUAUUUGCUCUUUGCAUGUAUCUAUUCUUUGUGAAAUGUCUGUUCUCAUUUCUCGGCUGUUUCUUUUAUUGUGUUGCUGUCUUCUUAUUACUGAGUUAUAGAAGUUUUUACAUCUUCUGAAUUCAAGUCCUUUGUCAGAUACACAUAUUUCAAAUAUUUUCUCCCAGUAUGUGACUUGUAGUUUCAUUUUCUUUAAAAAGUUGUUCAAAAGUCAGGUAUUUAAAUUUUUUAUCAUGUCCCAUUUAUCAAUUUUUCCCUCUAUGGUUUAUGUUUAUCCUUUCUUAUCUAAGAAAUAGUUAUCUUUUUUCCUUUUCAAAUGGAUAGCUAUUUUUUUCUGCACUAUUUGUUGAAAAGACUAUGCUUUAUCCAAUGAAUUACUUUGGCGUCUUUGUUGAAAACCACUUAACCAUAUACGUUAGGUUUCUUUUUCUCAGCUCUUUCGUUCUCUUAAUCUGCAUUUCUAUUCUUGCACCACUAUGCCCUUUUAAAUUUGCAUGACUCUGUAAUAAACCUCAAAAUGAGAUUUCAAGAGUCUUCUAAUGUUGUUGUCUUCACUAUUGUACUGCUUUUGCAUUCACGUAUAACCAUUAGAAUCCAUUUACUAAUUUCUACCCCCAUCAAAAGCCUGCUGGGACUUGGAUUUGGGUUUCUUAAAUUUUGAGCAAUUUGGGGAGACAAGACACCGUAACAAUGUUAAGUUUUCCAAACCAUAAGCAUAAUGUAUCUUAAAUAGAUAAGUAAAUCUUAUGUUAUUUUCAAUUUUUAUUAGCAAUGUUCUGUAGUUUUUAGUUUAUAGGUCUUGAACAUAUUUUAUAACAUUUAUCCUUAAGCAUUUUAUAUUUUGAUGUUAUUUUAAAAAUUUCUUUUGCCACUGUUUCUUAAUAGUACGUAGAAAUAUAAUUGAGUUUUAUAUAUUGGCCUUAGACGCUGUCCUUUGCUAAUUUCAGCUGCAAGUUCUAAUAGCUGUUUCGAAGAUUCAAAAAAAUUUUAGAAAGAUACUCAAGUUGAAUAAAACAAACUGCACUUCUUCCUUUCUAUCUGUAUGCCUUUUGUUUCAUUUCCUUGCUUAAAUGCACUAGCUAAGCUCUCCCAUAUAAUAAUGACUAGAAAUAUAUAGAGUGGGCAUCUUACCUUGUUCUCAAUCACAGAAAGAAAGCAUUUAGACAUUCUUUUCCCAAUAAACAGGAAGGUAGCUGUAGAUUUUUUACUCAUGUCCUGUAUUCUGUUAUUAGGAGAAUAUAGUUUUAUGGUUGCCUUGUCUUCCUGAUAAACAAAAACUUUUAUCAUUAUGAAUUGUCCCUUUUUAUCACCGUUAAUACUCUUCAUCUUAAAGACUACUUUACAUAAUAGUAAUACAACUAAACAGCUCAGUUGUCUUAUGUUUUCAUAAUAUAGUUUUUUUUGUGCACUUACUUUUAACUCAUCUCUUUAUAUUUAAGGUGUAGUUUUUGUAAACAGCAUAUAGUUGAGCCUUGCUAUACUUGGAGAGUUUCUUCAUUAUCAUUUAAUUUAACUAUUGAUAUGGUUAGAUUUAAGUCUACAAUUUUACUUUUUGUUUGGUGCUUUUCCCAUCAGUUUCUUCUAUCUGUUUACUUUCAUUCGCUCUCUCUAGUGCCUCAAAGUAACUGUUUUAAAUAUUUCUUCCAGAAAUUACAGUUGUUAUGUGAAAGAAAAUUUGUUCAGUAGGAGUUACUUGGAUAUUAUCAGAAACUGGAAGCCUCUGAUACAUACAUUUUAAAGAUACUGGAGUUUUUUUUUUACAUUUACCAAUUUUUAUUAUAAAGGAUAUUAUAAAAGAUACACACUAAGAGAUACAUAGAACAAGCUAUGUGCGAGAAGAAGUGUGGAGUUUCCAUGCUCUCCCCGGUGUGUCACCCUCUGGAGCCUCCACUUAUUCAGCCAUCCAGAUGCUCUCCAAACCCAGUCCUUUUGGGUUUUUAUGGAGGCUUUGUUACACAGACUUCUGCAUCUGCUGCUACUGUGCCUUCUCAGCAUACCACAUCACCGGUGUUUGUCCAUCUUGCACUACUUCCAACUGGCAUAUGAUUUGACCUAUUAUCUCCUUUAUAUCUUUAGCCUUUUUUUUCUGAAUAAAUGUGAUAAAGGUAUGUGACCUUCAGGAAGGCCUCCAAUGCAGAUUUUUUUUAUAGUAUCAGCAAGAUCUUAUCAAAGUUGUCACACUAUAAUCCCUCUCUCUGCUUUGCCAACUUCAUACCUAUUUUUUUCUUUCAAGUGAUGAUAUUCUUUGAAUAACUAGUUAUUUCUUUCUUCCAGCAUGUGUUUGUUUUUCACUCUCAGCUUGAUUUGUUGUGCAUACUUACACAAUUUAUCUUUUAUAUUAGUCAUUGUGUUUUUCUAUUUCAUAAUCUUUUUGUGCAUAUUACCCCAUUGUUUGAAAACAAUAUAUUUUUACUUUGUAGUUUCAGUGAUCAUUUCUUUAAGGUUUUUUAUCGUAUAAUAUAUUCAUUUUGUGCGUUCAUGUUGUCACAUGUAUUCACUUUCCUUCUUUUUACAUUCUGUGAUAGGAGGUCUAACCAAUAUCUUUUGGUUCAGAGGGUAACUUUAGUGCGAUAAAGCUCAUUGUGUAGGUUACUACUUUAACAUUUAGUUUUCAACAUUAUUGAGAAGGCACAUCAUGGUUAUAUUUUAGUUCAGACGAAUGAAAAUAUUGGAACCUGAUGAUUCAAUGUCUUACUCUGUUUAUGUUGCUAUCAAGGAAUACCUGAGGUUCAGUAAUUUACAUAGGAAGGAGGUUUAUUUGGCUCACAGUUCUGCAGCCUGUACAAGAAGCAUGGCACCAGCAUCUGCUUCUGGCAAGGAAUUCAGGCUGCUUCCACUCAUGGUGGAAGAGGAAGGGGAGCUGGUGUGUGCAGAUCACAUGGUGGGAAAGGAAUUGAGAGAGAGAGGAGGAGGUACCAGGCUCUUCUCUACAACCAGUUCUCAUGUGAACUAAAAGUGAGAACUCACUCACUCCUGCAAGAAAGGCACCAAGACAUUAAGGGAUCUGUCCCCAGCAUCCAAGUACCUUUCACCAGGCCCCAUCUCCAACACUGGGGAUAAAAUUUCAACAUGAGACUUGGCAGGGCCAAAUAAAUUAUAACAUAUCCCAACCGGCUUGGUGGCGGGUGCCUGUAAUCCCAACUACUCGGGAGACUGAGGCAGGAGAAUCGCUUGAACCCGAGGGGCAGAGGUUGCAGUGAGCCGAGAUCACACCACUGCACUCCAGCCUGGACAACAGAGCGAGACUCUGUCUCAAAAACAACAACAAAAGAACAAAAAACAAACAAACAAAAAAACAUAUCCAACCGUAAUAUUCAAUUUCUCUUUGCUUUGUUUUUCAUUUAUUAAUUUGAGUUCAAUGCUGCUUUCUCAGGUAUUACUGCAUAAAGUAGUCCAUUAUACUGAAUAUUGUUUUGGCUAAUAUUUCUUUGCCCAGUUUUAUUAUCUUUUGAAUAUCAAAAUUCUUUUAUGUUAAAAUGUUAAUAUCCUCAAUAUAUUUUCUCUGAUCUUGAUUUAUAAUUUUCAUAAUUUUUUCACCUGGCC
rnacentral:lncRNA from 1 species